UUUUUUUUUUUUUUUUGGUCUUUUUAGGACUCCACCCGCAAUAUAUGGAAGUUCCCAAGGCUAGGGGCUGAAUCAGAACUGCAGCUGCUGGCCUAAACCACAGCCACAGCAAUGCCAGAUCUGAGCCGUGUCUGAAACCUAUAGCACAGCUCACGGACAAUACCAGAUCCUUAAUCCACUGAGUGAAGCCAGGGAUUGAACUCACAUCCUCAUGGAUACCAGUUGGGUUUAUUACUUCUGAGCCAUGAUGGGAAAUUCCUAACAAGUAAUCUUCAACAAUGGUUAGAUUACACAUAAGCAAAAGGAUAUCCCUCAGUAUUUAAAGAAUACUUAUUUUAUAUCACACAAAAAUCAAAUCCAAAUGGAUUAAGACUUAAACACAAAACAUGAAAUCAUAACACAGCUAGAAGAUAACAUAAAAAGAAAUGCUUCUUCCCAUUGGUCUUUCUCUGAGAAUGAUAUUUUGGAUCUGACACCAAAAGAAUAGGCAACAGAAGCAAAAAUAAACAAAUAGGACCACAUCAAACUAAAUAUUUCUACCGGGUAAAGGAAACAAUCAACAAAAAGAAAAGGCAUCUUACUGAAUAAGAGACAACAUUUGGAAACCACAGAUUUGAUAAGGGGUUAAUAUCAAAAAUACAUAGAGAACUCAUACAACUCAACAGUAAGAAAACAAACAAAUAAAAAUAUUCAAAAAUGGGGAAAAGACCUGAAUGGAUAUGUUUCCAAAGAAGACAUAUGAAUGGCCAAACAGUAUAGGAUAAGGUUCUUGUGAUAUAGUGAUUUUAUAAGAAGUCACAUAUAUAUUUAUUUGAUUUUGCUCCCUGCUUCUGGCCAAGAGCUCUUAAAAUCCUUGGAAUUUCCAAAAGGAUGAGAACUCCUAGGAAGUCCUUUUCUUCUAAUAUUUGGUAUCUGACCUCAGUUUCUGACCCAGGGCUGCUGAAACCUUCCUAAUUUUCCACGGGAUAGGAAUGUCUUGUUCUAAUGAGGCAACUCUGGUUGGGCUGUUGGAUGGCUCCUGGUAAUGACUGGUCAGCAGAAAGACCAAGCCAUGAUAAGGAACUUGGAAUCUUCAGUCCCAUUAUACAUUCUCUUCAGAAGGACAAAGGGCUGAAAAUGGAGUUAAUCAUCUGUCAUGCCUAUGUGAUGAAGCUUCCAUUAAAAAUCCUGGUAGAGGAGUUCCCGUCGUGGCGCAGUGGUUGACGAAUCCGACUAGGAACCAUGAGGUUGCGGGUUCGGUCCCUGCCCUUGCUCAUGGGUCAAGGUUCCGGCGUUGCCGUGAGCUGUGGUGUAGGUCGCAGAUGCGGCUCGGAUCCUGCGUUGCUGUGGCUCUGGCGUAGGCUGGCAGCUACAGGUCCGAUUAGACCCCUAGCCUGGGAAUCUCCAUAUGCCAGCACUGGCCCAAGAAAUGGCAAAAACCAACAAAAAAAAAUCAUGGUAGAAGGCAGUAUAGAUAGCUUUCAAGUCAGGGAACACAUCCAUACACCAGUGGCAUGAUGCACCCCAGUUCUACAGGGAUAGAAGCUCCUGAGCUUAGGACCCUCACAGACCUCUCCCUAUGGGUCUCCUCAUCUGGCUGUUCAUCUGUAUCUUUUAGCAUGUCCUUUAAUAACCUGGUAAAAUUAAGUGUUUCCCUGAGUUCUAUGAGCCACACUAGUAAAUAAUCAAAUCCAAGGGUGGGGGGAGGUCCAUGGGAACCUCUGAUUUACAGCCUGAUCAUACAGAAGUUGCGGGUAACUUGGGGACCUACUACUAGUGAUUAGCAUCUGAAGUGGGGAGCACACUGGCGGGACUGAGUCAUUGGCCUGUGGGAUCUGACACUGUCUCCAGUCUCCAGGGGUAGAUAGAAUGAGAAGUGAGUUAAACUGUAGGACAACUAGCUGCUUCGAAGAGACUUUUUUGUGGGGAACACUCCCCACAUAUUUGGUGACCAGAAGUGUCAAAAGUGAAAUGUUCAGUUUAAGUACAAAGUAGACACACUAGAGGAACAAACUGUAGGUUUUCCCCUACAUAGGCCUCAGCACCACCAACCACCAGGGGAAUGCAAUUGAAAAAUCACAAUGAAAUACCACCUCACACCUAUAAGCAUGGUUAUUAUUAAAAAAAAAAACCCUCUGAAUAUAAAGUUUUGGCAAGGACUUAGAUAAUUGGGAACCUUUAUAUCCUGUUGGGUAUGUAAACUACUAUAGCACAAUUAUGGAAAACAGCAUGAAGGUCAAUAAAAAAUAACACAUGAUUCAACAAUCCCACUUCUGAUUAUAUAUCCAAAGGAAAUGAAAUAACUUGCUCAGAGAAAUAUCUGCAUUCCCAUGUUCACCACAACAUUAAACACAAUAGCCAAGACCUGGAGACAACCUAAGUGCCUGUUGACAGAUGAAUGGAUAAAGAAAAUGUGAUGUAUAUGUAGACAAAAGAAUAUUAUUAAGCCUUUUAAAAGAAGGAUAUCCUAACACUUGCAGCCACAUGAAUGAACUCAGAAGAUAUUAUACUAAGUGAAAUAGGCAAGACAGAGAAAAACAAUAUUGCAUGACCUCACUUAUAGGUGAAGUCUAAACAAGUCUAACUUAGAAACAGAGAGUAGAAUGGUGGUUACCAGGGGCUAGAGGUUUGGGACAAAUGGAGAGAUGUUGAUCCAAGGGGACAAAGUUCAGUUAUGCAAGAGGUAUAAAUGCUGGAUCUAAUGUACAACAUAGUGACUACAGUUAAUAAUUAUGUAUUAUAUACAUCAAAUUUGCUGAGAGAGUAGAUCUCAAAUAUUCUCCCCAUACAAUGAAAAGAAAGAAUAAGUAUUCAUAGUAUAGUUGGUGGACAAAGGGCACAGCAGGGGGAGGCUUAAGCUGUCACCAAAAAUCAAAAACAGUGAGUCCAAAUGUUCAUUACAAGGAAAAACAUGGGUAAGAGAAUGGGCAUUCACCUUUGUUUAUCUUUACAUAAAGAAACACUUGCAGGAUGCUCAAGAAAUCCAAAGGUAUGUAUUUGAGAGUGGCUGGAGUAACAGCACUGGAGGAGACCAGGAUAUGUGGGCAGUGCAUCUUCUCAAGUUAGAUUUACCUAU
rnacentral:lncRNA from 1 species